rnacentral:sRNA from 1 species
UCCUGGCGGGAGCCCUAGGUUUCGGAA